rnacentral:rRNA from 1 species
AACGUAGGAGGCGAGCGUUAUCCGGAUUUACUGGGCGUAAAGGGCAAGUAGGCGGUAGCUCAAGUUGGAUGUGACAUCUCCCGGCUUAACUGGGAGGGUGCGUACAAUACUAGGUUACUAGAGGGCAGAAGAGGAGAGUGGAACUCCUAGUGUAGCGGUGGAAUGCUCAGAUACUAGGAAGAACACCAGUGGCGAAGGCGACUCUCUGGUCUGUACCUGACGCUGAGAGGCGAAAGCUAGGGGAGCGAACGGG